rnacentral:rRNA from 1 species
CGGGUGAGUAACGCGUGGGUAACCUGCCUCAUACAGGGGGAUAACAGUUAGAAAUGACUGCUAAUACCGCAUAAGCGCACAGUGCUGCAUGGCACAGUGUGAAAAACUCCGGUGGUAUGAGAUGGACCCGCGUCUGAUUAGGUAGUUGGUGGGGUAACGGCCUACCAAGCCGACGAUCAGUAGCCGACCUGAGAGGGUGACCGGCCACAUUGGGACUGAGACACGGCCCAA